UCCUCAAAAUACAUAGCUUUCCAACCUCACCUACAUGAAUUUCUCUCAAUACAUAGGUGUGCUAAUGCAAAAAGGAAAGCUACUAUACUACCACGGUCUCACUGGUCGGGAGCGAUGCCCUUGACGCGGUCCUCGCUCGGUAGACCUGUACCUACCACUGGAAAUAGAGUGGGGUAAGAACUAUCUUCCAUAGUUCCCAGUGGGCUCGGCCGCGGACUCCGCCGAUCUCCCCACUAGGUCCAAGUGGGCACAAGUAACAACAAAUAGAUAUAUAGAUAGAUAUCUAAAAGCUGUAAAGGCAUAAAAGAAUACUAUGCUACUAUGCCCAUAAUCAUGUAUAAUGAAUGCAUGCAUCAUAUAGUAAAGAUUUACUAUCAUGCUAACAAAUUCGAUCCAUGUUCGAAUGAUAAUGUUCCAUGACAUUGUUAACUGUUCAUUUACCCAAUCUGUGGCAAAGCCCUUGGGUUCGCCCUCGACUCACUUUGUCAUCCCAUUGGGUGGGGAGCUCCAUGUGCCCCCAGACCCAGGACCGUCUGCGGACCUCCAAGUGGUCCGGACCUCCCAAGUGGUCCAAAUCGCUCGACACUCCGGAGUACUCGACGACAAUCCCCUCCAUGUGGGGAUAUGGAUGGCUAUACCACCCCAAAAGCAGACUGUGAGCAUGAUCCAUCCCCUCCAUGUGGGGACAUCCUACCUCUAGGGCCAACAUCUCAAUAGACACUCGUCUAUAUCCUCUCCAUGUGAGGAUACCCUAUGAACUAGGGUCAACAUCUCUCGCGGAAUCAUCUGUUCCCGACAUUCAUGCAAUGCUAUUUAGCUUUUCUAAAUUCAUUGUUCACAAGGCAUUUUCUAAGGGAUCCACCUAUCCCUAGGUCCAUCGACCUCUAGUGUCAAAUACACUACAUUAAUGCCACUCGAUAUGUUCUUUAUCAUUUGAUGCCACUCGUUUGUUCUUUAGCAUUUAAACGCUACUUUCUAUGUCACCAAACACCCAUCGUGUUUCAUCUCUUUUCUUUAGCACUAGGAUUCAUGUUCCGACCCAAUCCUCACCUAUCCAAGUCACCAAGCAUUCCAUGUACACUAGGUUAUCAAUUAGAAAGCAUAAGAAAAAGUACUACAAUGCAAUCCUACAAUGCAAUAUGCAAGAGAUGCAAAUUAUGUAUUUCUAAGACAUAGAAAGGAGUCUGGUUGCUUCGGGAUGACACCCCCCACCUUUUGUAGUCGAUAAUUGCUGUGGAGGUCCUAGAAGUGUUCCUCGGCACUUCAAACCACUUGUUCUCCGCCUAUUUGGGAGAAACGAAGCUAGGUCGGUCCUACUUUGUCGAUAUCUCUACACCCACUCGACGAAUCGAAAUUCCGACUCCGCCAACGCGUUUGGACACCUAGCAAUUAGGUUUACAAGACCUCAAAUGAGAUCAAUCUCAUCUAUUUCUAAAAAUCCCAUUUUGGGUGCCCUAGGGUUAGCAUCAUGCCAUUUGCACCAUGAAACCUUAGCCUCUAGCUCUAAUCCACCAACAAUGGUGCUAGAAGUCCAUUUGACCUCAUCUCAAAAGCUCAAAACCCAAAACCCUAGAUUCUACAUGUUAGGGUUCAAGAGCUUACAUCUAGGUUAGCUCCAAAGGAAGAGGAGAUGAAGAUGGAGAUGUCCAAAGCCUUCUCUUUGGUCUCCUUCUUCUUCUCCUUCCCUUUCUUCUUCUUCUUCUUCCUCUUCUUCUCCUCUUUUUCCUUCUCCUUCUUUUCCUUUCUAGAGAGAGAGAGAGAGCAAAAGAGAGUGAGAGGGAGAGAGAAUGAGAGGCUAAGGGAGAGAGAGAGGGUCUACAUACCCCUCUAUUGUAACAAAAUCCAAUUUAGCCCCUCAACUUUUCAUCCAUUGCACGGCCUUCACUGGGCAGAAUUCGAGCGGAGGGACCGGUCUCCCCGACUUGGGACUGGUCCCCGAGAGCAGCCCAUGCUGCCAGGGGCCUUUCUCGCGUUCGGGAACCGGUCUCUCCCCGGGAAACCGGUCCUCGAGAGACCGGUCUUCGCCUGAGAGACCGGUCCCCGAGAGCUCGAUUUUCAAGACUUAGCUGAUUUUGGCCUUCUCUCGCUGGCGUCGCACACGGGGACCGGUCCCCUCAGCCAGGGACCGGUUGCAUCAAAGAUCCCCAGCAACCCCCAGCCUCAGGGACCAGUCUCUCCCUGCCAGGGACCGGUCCCCGAGAACAAUUUUAGCCCAGUGCAAGUUUGCACUAUAUGCUCUCGCAGACACGUUUCCAAUGCACUUUUUGUGUUUUGGAUAACCUUAGCUUUCCCGAAGGAUACUCACUCGACAAGUAGUCAAUCCAGGACGAAGUACAACUCUCGAAUUUCGAGAAUACGCUUCCUUACACUAGCCAUUCGAGUCCUUGCGGUGCAUAUUGGCUGCAGUAGGUUCAAUGUAGGAAUAGGAUGUGCACUUAUAUAGAAUCUAUCUUCCUUGGUAGAUAGGGGUGUUAGUCCUAUGUGAUUUAUGAGACCGAGUUUAGAAGACCUUGGCCAGAGCAGAGUUAAUAGCGCAAAAAGAGUUUCCGAUAUUAGAAACUUGAGUCGAAUAAAUUUGACAUAUGACAGACAAUAGGGUUUGACGAGUUAUUCCAUGACCUCCGUCUAGUCGGGACUCAUGAUAGAAGGAUUGUAUCAUACAGUAACUGCACCAAGAGGUUCAGUAUUCCAUUCUACUUAAAUGUCACUAUAUGCUACUAGGCGUCACUGGUGGAUUGUGAGACUUAUGAGAAUUAUUUAAAUGAUCGAUAAUUCUUAUUAGGCUGAGUUUGAAUUAUUCCGAUCCACUAAAAGGAGUUUCAGUAAUAUUGUUGAUAGUGAUCAAAAUAUAUCUCACUACCAUAUAGAAUAGAACGUAUGGGGUCACACACAUAAGAGGUUGUGAUUGAUCAGAUAGCUAGAUCGCAAUUUUUGAAUCGUCGGAGGACCUAAUUGUCAAUAUGUUGAUAAUUGGACUAAUUCGUAAUUAUUACAAAUUAGUGCUAUUAAAGUGUAAACGUUAUAAGAGAGGCCUUACUAAUAGUUAGUAAAUUAUAAGAGGACUUGUGCAAAUAUUGCAUUAUUAUUUUNCGAUGUCAUGAUAGGUCUCUACCUAUUCAUUCUUGCCACUCUCAAGGCCAUAUCCGUGAUGAUGCCAUAAUUUGGUUAAACUAGAUUUAACGGUUUAUCUCUCAAUGCCAAUCUUGUUUCUAUGUCAAUGUCACCCUUGUUUUCUAUUGUCCAAGUCCAACCUCACAUUCACACAACUUGAGGGUCCAAUCACACAUAUCCUUUUGGUUCUAUCAUCCACUAUGUUCAACUACGUUAGAAACAUAUAAAUGAAGUCAAACCAAGUUCCACAUGUAUCUACCCUGCUAUGCAUGAAUGGGUAUAUCUAUACAUAUAUGCUCAAGAGUAGAGAAAACAGACAUAGAAGGGAAUCCAACGAUUCCAGCGUGCACCCCCCACCUCUAAUAUCCGUGUGGGUGUAGAAUAUGAACGCUCCCGCACUUUAUGAAAGCCGAUUCCGCGCCCUACAUUCAAAACGGUGCCUUAUUAGGCCCUUUGUACAUGAACUAUACUCUAACAUUUUCGUAAUGUUAAAAGGAGUUGCCCAACGUGUUUAGGGCACCCCCAAUUAGGUUUUUACGGGGUCAAUUCGUCCCUAAAAAAUCCCAGGGCAAAAGCCUUAUUUCCAAGCCCUAACAAUGUCAUUUAGGGUUUCUCCAUGAAUCGAUCCCAACCCUAAGCAAACAAUAGCCUAGGAUCAUCUAAGAACAAUCCUAGUAAGAUUUCUAGACCCUUGGAACCAACCCUAGGGCUUCUAUGGCAAACCCUACCCAACCAUCAUGAGAGCACUUGAGCUCUCAUGGGUUCCAUAGAGUUCAAGGCAUAUAGAAGGCUCCCAUGGCCAAAAACAACCCAAAGCUCCAAAACAUAGGGAUUAAAACCAUGCCCUAGACUCAUUUAUACCCAAAAACUCACCUUAGCCCAAGCUCCUCCAAGUGCUUCUUGUAGGACAGCUUGUAGAACCCACCAAAGUCUCCAAAUCCACCUUCCCUUGCUUCUUCUUCUUCUUCUCCAAGCCCUAGAGCAAGAGUUCUAGAGAGAGAAAGAGAGGAAAUAAGAGAGAAGGGUGAAAAUGGCUGUGGGAGAGAGAGGGGUGUCAACAUAUAGUGUUGUGACAAUUACAUUUAAGCCUCUCAACUUGUUUCCCCUUGAUCUGCCCAGACUGGGCGUUUUUCGCCUUCGGGGACCGGUCUCCCCGACCAGGGACCGGUUCCCGAACGUGGGUGUUCCAGGACUUAGCCAAAUUUUCGGGUUUUUCGGCUGUUACGCAGCGAGGGACCGGUCUGCCCCUUCAGGGACCGGUCUCACCACCAGGGACCGGUUGCCUCAGGACUUCCUGGCAGGCUACGCGUAUGGGGACCGGUCUCUCCUUGAGGGACCGGUCCCCGAGAGCACAAAAUCUGGGACUUAGCCAGAUUUCCAGAUUACUCUCUCGGGUCCCUUUUAGCCUCACUUAUGGACUCUAAUGUGCUUAAGGUCCACUCAAACUCGUUCAUCUCCGCGGUCCGCUCGUUUCGCGGGAACUUGGCACGAUUUAUGAGGGAUGUGGUAUGUUACAUUCUCCACCCCUUAAUUUAGUUUCGUCCGCGAAACUUCUAAGGUUGAAAUUUAAAUUUCAUACCUCACUUCGGAUCCUCGAAGAGGUGAGGAUAACGCUCCCUCAUUUCGCUUUCGAGCUCCCACGUUUCUUCCCGGUCAUCAUGUUCGCACCAAUGAAUCUUGACAUAUGGGAUUUCGCGGUUCCGAAGCUUUCGCACCUCCCGAUCGACAAUAUAUGCCAGGAACUCCUCAUAAGUCAUAUCCUCUUGAAGUUCUAUCGGUAUGUACGAGAGAAUAUGAUCCGGGUCGUACACAUACUUGCGGAGUUGAGAUACAUAGAAUACAUCAUGUACUCUCGCCAGCCUCGGUGGUAAUGCCAACUUGUAGGCCACCGCUCCAACUCGUUCCAAAAUCUCGAAGGGUCCGAUAUAGCGGGGGCUCAAUUUCCCGCGAACACCGAACCGCUUAACUCCUCGCAUCGGCGAUACUUUUAGAAAUACGCGGUCUCCUACCGCGAACUCAAUAUCCUUUCGCCGCUUGUCGGCAUAACUUUUGUGCCUUGAUUGCGCCGUUACUAACCUUUGUCGGGCAAGGCGGACCUUCUCUUCCGCCUCCCGCACCACAUCCGGGCCAAGAACCAUUUUCUCGCCCACAUCGCUCCGGUGUAUCGACGAGCCACACUUCCUUCCAUACAGGGCCUCGAAUGGCGCCAUCGCAAUACUUUCCUGAUAACUAUUGUUAUAUGCGAAUUCCGCCAUCGGUAAAUGAUCGUGCCAUCCGCCCUUAUAAUCAAGUACACACGCUCGAAGCAUGUCCUCAAGUAUUUGAAUCGUCCUCUCCGAUUGACUGUUACUUUGAGGAUGGAAUGCCGUACUAAAGUCGAGCCUCGUGCCUAGUGCCUCUUGUAAGCUUUUCUAGAAAUGAGAUGUGAACCUAGGGUCCUGAUCCGAUACAAUAGAUACGGAACCCCAUGAAGUCUCACCACCUCGUCGAUAUAGACUUGAGCUAACUUAUCGCCCGACCAAGUAGUGUGGAACGGCAAAAAGUGUGCCGAUUUUGUCAACCAGUCCACAACUACCCAUAUCGCGUCAUGUCCACCUUGUGACUUAGGCAGCCCCGUCACAAAGUCCAUUGCAAUGUUUUCCCAUUUCCACACGGGUAUAGGUAGACUCUGCAAUUUUUUCGCUGAAAAUCGACGCUCCGCCUUCACUUGUUGGCACGUGAGGCAUUGCGCCACGAACUCCCCUAUAUCCCUCUUCAUACCCGGCCACCAAUAAUGCAAUUUCAAAUCUUGAUACAUUUUGGUACCGCCCGGGUGGAUGCUAUAGGGAGAUUGAUGCACUUCUUGCAUAAUCGCCCUCCGAAGAUCGUCGUCCUUGGGCACGCACCAACGACCUCGAUAUCGUAGUGCGCCGUCAGUUCCAAUGCCACAAUCAUCGGCACUACCACUUUCAAAUUUGCCCCGCACCUUUUGGAGAAACUCAUCCGAUGCUUGUAAUUCUUUAAUUUUCUCCAACAAGGUUGGUUGCACAAUUAAGGUGGCAAGUGUUGCCGGCACUCCCGGCGCCACAACUUCUAGUCCCAACCGUUGCAUCUCCUUCUGCAAUGCCGGUUGAGGCAUAAUUUCCGCCGCCAAAUUUUCCGCCGAUUUUCUACUUAGAGCAUCGGCCACGACGUUCGCUUUUCCGGGGUGGUAGAGAAUCGUGACAUCAUAAUCUUUAAGCAACUCUAACCACCGCCGCUGUCGCAAGUUCAGCUCCUUCUGGGUGAACAAAUAUUUGAGACUCUUAUGAUCGGUGUAGAUCUCACAAUGUUCCCCAUACAGGUAAUGACUCCACAGUUUUAGCGCGAAAAUAAUUGCCGCUAGCUCAAGAUCGUGAGUCGGGUAGUUCUUUUCAUAACUCUUCAAUUGGCGCGAAGCAUAAGCUAUGACUCGGCCGUUUUGCAUUAAGACACACCCGAGACCGAUGUAUGAGGCAUCAUUGUAUACGACAUAGUUUUCUCCCGACGUCGGCAAGGCGAGCACCGGAGUAGACGUCAGUCUAGUCUUUAGCUCCUCAAAGCUCCACUCACACUCGGGGCUCCACACAAACUUCACCUCUUUGUGCGUAAGGCGCGUUAGUGGAGUUGUUAUCUUAGCAAUCCCUUUCAUGAACCGCCGGUAAUAGCCCGCAAGUCCAAGGAAGCUACGAAUUUUCGCUACACUUGUCGGGCGAGGCCAAUCCUUAAUCGCCUCAACUUUCUUUGGGUCCACCGAGAUGCCAUCUCCGGACACAACGUGGCCCAAAAAGGUGACCUCUGAAAGCCAAAACUCGCAUUUCUUUAGUUUUGCGUAAAGCUUUUCCUUCCGGAGUAUCUCCAACACGAGUCUUAGAUGCUCCUCGUGUUCUUCCUCGGUCCGAGAAUAUACCAAUACGUCGUCAAUGAAAACCACGACGCACCGGUCCAAUAGCGGACGGAAGAUCUGAUUCAUUAAGUCCAUAAAUGCCGUCGGUGCAUUAGUGAGCCCGAAUGGCAUGACCGUGAACUCAUAGUGGCGGUACCGCGUACGGUAUGCCGUCUUGUGCACAUCUUUGGGACGUAUCUUCAAUUGAUGAUACCCUGACUGCAGAUCAAUCUUUGAAUAUACCCUUGACCCCUGCAAUUGGUCGAACAGGUCAUCAAUUCUUGGCAACAGGUAUUUGUUCUUGAUCGUCACUCUAUUCAACUCGCGGUAAUCAACGCAGAGCCGGAGUGUUCCGUCCUUCUUCUUUACAAAUAGCACGGGAGCUCCCCACGGGGACACGCUCGGCCGCACGAAGCCCUUAUCGAGCAAAUCCUGUAACUGAGCUUUCAACUCUUUUAGCUCCAUCGGUGCCAUUCUGUACGGAGCCUUCGAAAUUGGCGCCGCCCCGGGAAUCAAGUCGAUAACAAACUCGACUUCUCGAUCCGGGGGUAGUCCCGGUAACUCCGCUGGGAAUACAUCCGGAUACUCCCACACAACUCGAAUACUCUCCAGUUCCGGGUAUUCUUUUCGAGGGUCUACGAUGGUCGCCAAGUAGGCCUUACAACCACCUUUAAUCAUCCUUUUUGCCCUCACCGUCGAUAUAGUUGCUGCGAAGCGUUUGCCCUUGCACGCCCGAUAGACAAACUCCUCUUGGUUGGGUUCACGGAACGUGAUCACCCUUCUUUCACAAUCUAUAACCGCGUAGUACUUGGAGAGCCAGUUGAUCCCCAAGAUUACUUCGAAUCCCCACAUUUCUUUCAACACGAGGAGGUCGAUCGACAUAACCCAAUCACCUAUUUGCACUGGGCAGUCCAAGCACUCAUCAUAGACGUCGAUCGAGUGCUCAGGAGUGUUCACCGACCAAUACUCCUUAUUAUGAGUGAUCUCUAUAUUAUGAGCUCGUGCAAAUGAUGCUAAUAUGAAUGAAUGAGAUGCACCCGUAUCAAAUAUGGCUCUAGCCCUAGUGCCUCUAAUCAGAAUAAUACCUGCCACGACGUCGUCGGGAACGAUGAUGGGUGGCUCCUCCACCUGAGUGGCAAAAACCCGCCUACUAGGUGCUCGAGAAGCCUCCGGCUGACGUGGCGCCGACGAUCGUCCAGCAGAUGUUGCGAGUGGCAGUCCCGCCAGCUAUCGCUGCGUGUACUGUACUGAGGCUGAUGACGGGGCUGGGAACGCGCCGCCCGAGCACUCUCGACUCAUGUGCCCUGGUUGGCCACAUCGAUAACACCGCCUCUCCCGCUGUGGGCAACUGGUGGCUCUAUGCUCCCCGCCGCAUAUCACACACGGGUAGUUAAUCUGGCCUCGUGUCUGACUCAUACCUCCCUGCCAUUGCGAUCGUUGUGGUCGCGGGGGUCACUUAGAACUCGACUGCCCCGCCGAUCCACCAGCCGACCGUUUUUUUGACUUAUCUCUUUCCCUUUCUCUCUCAAAGGUCUCGCGCUCAUCACGCGCGAUUGCAUUCCCGCGCUCCACCCAAAGCGCGCGAUCAAGCACUUCCUCGUAGGUAUUCAACCGGAAAGCAUGUAUGACCUUAAAAAUCUCGGGUCGCAACCCGCGCUCGAAUACUUCCGCUCGGUCCCUAUCUCCAUGGACCAAGUCCGGCACAUAGUUAAUAAUGUGCGUGAACUCCCUCUCGUACUUCCGCACUGAACGGCUUCCUUGCCUCAGCUUCCUGAAAUCCUCCUUGAUUUUUCUUUUGUCGCUUUCGGGGAAAUACUCCAUCAGCAGCAUCUCCCGGAACGCUUCCCAAGUAAGGAAAGGGUGCCCUAGCGAGCGAUUUUUUCUCGCUUGGUUCCACCACAACCGGACCGACCCAUCGAAGCAAUGAGCCGCUAGGUGAACUUUAUCCUUCUCAAGGGUAUAGAUAUCCUCGAAUAAGGCCUCCAUCGCGGCUAACCAAUUCUCCAUCGUCCACGGAUCCUUCACGUUACCGUUGAAGGUUGGAGGGUUAAACUACUUAAAUGACGUCAGCGCCGCCAACGUGCGCUCCUGCUCGGCCUCAAGUACAUCGAAAAUUGGAGCCGAUGAACCCGAUGCCGUCGGAGGAAUAGCCGUCACUGGCGCUGCCGCCACCGCAGGAGGUGGUGCUACAGGAGCAGCUGGUGCAGGCGGAUACCUCGGCACAGAUGCCGCCACUGCCUGUUGCGCCAUCAUUUCAUGGAGCUGCCCAAUCCGCUCUCCUUGAAGCCGCAUAGCCCCGGCCAACGCUGCUACCUGGGCUCGCAGCUCACGCACGUCAUCCGACCCCGACUGCCCGGGCUCCUCCCGAGGCUCCGCCGGUGUGGACCUCGUAACUCUCCUUGGUAGUGCCAUCGCGUCCUGAAACGCAAUGUAUACACACACAUUAGUACUCGAAGCACGUGAUUCUUACACGUUACAAACAACUACCCAAUUAAGCGAAAGCACAAGCCUAAUUAUUUCCACUCCCGGUGUUAUGUGGUCGGCCGCCCCACAGAGUCCCUUAAGUAGACAACAAUUAAGCCUUCUAAUCCAUCUCUACUUCCUUCUAGAGAAGUGUUAUAGUUAACCCAAUCAUUCGCUUUCGCAUAAACCAAGUCCACGUCAAGCGUUUUCUUAAGUCCUUAGAGUCUCCAAACCUAUGGUUUCUAGGUCACUCCUAGACUUUUGCUUUCCACUUCGCUCUGAUACCAUUAUAUCUGUCACGGCCCAAUCCCCGCCAAUUUGGUCAGGUUUGGGGCACGUCGACAGACGCCGAGCGGACAGAGCCUCCCCUGUCCGCCCAAGGCUCUAAGAACAAGUAUAAAUAGGCAAUCAACAAGCGAUUUGCAUAUGUAAUACAAGGCUUGCACGAGGGUAAGCAACAACGGAAACGAGAGCUCUAAACUAAUAUACUACAUACAUGAUACUUGAUUUCAUUUGAACCAAAUAUAAGUAAAUAAAACUAUUACAUUUCCAUUCAACCAUCAAAUCUUUUACAUUUAGUCAUCCACCCAACACAUGCUUGUUUACAUCUUUACAUCUCACUAAUUCAACAAAAUAAAGUUGAUACGUAUACACCAAAAGGGGAAUGACUACAAAAUGCAUAAUGUCCCGGUGGCCGCUAUCUAUGGCGCUAUACCCUUGCCUCGGUCCUCCGCCGCCCCGCUCGUGCUAGGGCCUGUAGGGUUAGUGGUGUGAGAACUACAACAAAGUUUCCAGUGGGCUUGGCAUCCGACCUCGCCGACUUACCCACUAGGUCUAUCCAGGCAUAAGUAUUUCAAAGGAGGAAAAGUAACCACCACUAAUUCAACUAGUAUUAUGCCUGCAAGAAAGAAGUCAGUAGAUAUAUAAUUUCAAUGCGAUAAUGGAAAUGCAUGCAUGCUCCAAUCAUAAUCAAGCUUUGGCUCUUACCCAAUCUUACCGGUUAACUCUGUUAACCCCAAUAACUCACAACCCAAAAUUCCUUAAUAACAGGGGACUCGAACCUCCCUAGGGACCGUCAACUGGUGGGACUUUACCUCGCCCAGUGGUGACCAACUCCGGAGCGCACCGCUCGAGGAGGAGCGACCUCCCUCAAGCCAAGACGUAAUGUGAGCAUCGAUCUAAUCCCCAACUUGAGGAUUCAUAACCACUGGUCACAAUGCCGAUGUCAUGAUAGGUCUCUACCUAUUCAUUCUUGCCACUCUCAAGGCCAUAUCCGUGAUGAUGCCAUAAUUUGGUUAAACUAGAUUUAACGGUUUAUCUCUCAAUACCAAUCUUGUUUUUAUGUCAAUAUCACCCUUGUUUUCUAUUGUCCAAGUCCAACCUCACAUUCACACAACUUGAGGGUCCAAUCACACAUGUCUUUUUGGUUCUAUCGUCCACUAUGUUCAACUACGUUAGAAAUAUAUAAAUGAAGUCAAAUCAAGUUCCACAUGUAUCUACCCUACUAUGCAUGAAUGGGUAUAUCUAUACAUAUAUGCUCAAGAGUAGAGAAAACAGACAUAGAAGAGAAUCCAACGAUUCCGGCGUGCACUCCCCACCUCUAAUAUCCGUGUGGGUGUAGAAUAUGAAGGCUCCCGCACUUUACGAAAGCCGAUUCCGCGCCCUACAUUCAAAACGGUGCCUUAUUAGGCCCUUUGUACAUGAACUAUACUCUAACAUUUUCGUAAUGUUAAACGGAGUUGCCCAACGUGUUUAGGGCACCCCCAAUUAGGUUUUUACGGGGUCAAUUCGUCCCCAAAAAAUCCCAGGGCAAAAGCCUCAAUUUCCAAGCCCUAACAAUGUCAUUUAGGGUUUCUCCAUGAAUCGAUCCCAACCCUAAGCAAACAAAUAGCCUAGGAUCAUCUAAGAAGCAUCAUAGUAAGGUUUCUAGACCCUUGGAACCAACCCUAGGGCUUCUAUAGCAAACCCUGCCCAACCACCAUGAGAGCACUUGAGCUCUCAUGGGUUCCACAGAGUUCAAGGCAUAUAGAAGGCUCCCAUGGCCAAAAACAACCCAAAGCUCCAAAACAUAGGGAUUAAAACCAUGCCCUAGACUCAUUUAUACCCAAAAACUCACCUUAGCCCAAGCUCCUCCAAGUGCUUCUUGUAGGAGAGCUUGUAGAACCCACCAAAGCCUCCAAAUCCACCUUCCCUUGCUUCUUCUUCUUCUUCUCCAAGCCCUAGAGCAAGAGUUCUAGAGAGAGAAAGAGAGGAAAUAGGAGAGAAGGGUGAAAAUGACUGUGGGAGAGAGAGGGGUGUCCACAUAUAGUGUUGUGACAAUUGCAUUUAAGCCCCUCAACUUGUUUCCCCUUGAUCUGCCCAGACUGGGCGUUUUUCGCCUUCGGGGACCGGUCUCCCCGACCAGGGACCGGUUCCCGAACGUGGGUGUUCCAGGACUUAGCCAAGUUUUCGGGUUUUUCUGCUGUUACGCAGCGAGGGACCGGUCUGCCCCUUCAGGGACCGGUCUCCCGAGGACCGGUCUCACCACCAAGGACCGGUUGCCUCAGGACUUCCUGGCAGGCUACACGUACGGGGACCGGUCUCUCCUUGAGGGACCGGUCCCCGAGAGCACAAAAUCUGGGACUUAGCCAGAUUUCCAGAUUACUCUCUCGGGUCCCUUUUAGCCUCACUUAUGGACUCUAAUGUGCUUAGGGUCCACUCAAACUCGUUCAUCUCCACGGUCCGCUCAUUUCGAGGGAACUCGGCAUGAUUUACGAGGGAUGUGGUAUGUUACACUAUAUGCUCUCGCGGACUCAACUCCAAUGCACUUUUUGUGUUUUGGAUAAAUUUAGCUUUCCCAAAGGAUACUCACUCGACAAUUAGUCGAUCCUGGAUGAAGUACAACUCUCGGAUUUCGAGAAUUCACUUCCUUACAUCCUUCCCUCCUUAAAAAGAGUUUCGUCCUCGAAACUAACUCGAUUCUUUACUUUAACUUAAAUUUUUACCUCACUCCUCGAACAAAUGAGGGUGGUGCUUCCUCAUUAAAUCCUCGAGUUCCGAGGUGGCCUAGCGAUCAUCAUGAUUGCUCCACUGAACCUUCACGUAGGGAAUUUCUCGAUUCCUCAACUUACGCACCUCUCGUGCGAUAAUCAUCACCGGAAACUCUUCAUAGCUCAAGUCCUCUUGAAGCUCCGAUAGCUCAUAUAGCAUUGCAUGCUCGGGGUCGUGAAUAUACUUGCGGAGAUUGGAGACAUGGAACACAUUGUAUACAUCCGCGAGCUUCGGCGGCAAGACGAGUCGAUAAGCCACCGUGCCAACUUGCUCCAAUAUUUCAUAGGGUCCAAUGUAUCGGGGACUCAAUUUUCUCCGCACUCCAAACCGCUUCACACCCCGCAUCGGUGAAACCUUCAAGAAUACGGGGUCGCCCACCACGAACUCUAUAUCUCGUCGGCGCCUAUCUGCAUAGCUUUGCUGUCUCGACUGCGCCGUGAGCAAUCUCUUGCGAGCAAGGUGGACUUUCUUCUCCGCUUCUCGCAGAAUAUCGGGGCCGAACUCUGCACACUAACCCACAUCGCUCCAGUGUAUAGGAGAUCGACACGUCCGCCCAUAGAGAGCCUCGAACGGUGCCAUCUCCACACUAGCAUGAUAACUGUUGUUGUAGGCGAACUCAGCCAUAGGUAGGUGAUCACACCAACUUCCCUUAUAGUCGAUGACACACGCUCGCAACAUGUCCUCCAGAGUUUGAAUGGUUCUCUCUGUUUGCCCAUCAGUCUGAGGAUGAAAUGCGGUGCUAAAGUCGAGUCGUGUGCAAAGGGCAUCCUGCAGGCUUUUUCAGAAGUGUGAAGUGAACCGGGGGUCACGAUCUGACACGAUCGAUUUCGACACCCCAUGCAGUCUCACUAUCUCGUCGAGGUAUGCCUGCGCUAACUUGUCACCCGACCACGUGGUGUGGAUCGGCAAGGAGUGAGCCGACUUCGUCAAUCGGUCCACAAUUACCCAAAUUGCAUCAUGGCCGCCCGUUGAGCGAGGCAAGCCGACCACGAAGUCCAUCGAUAUAUCCUCCCAUUUCCAAACGGGGAUUGGUAGGCUUUGAAGCUUUCCCACUGGGAAUUGACGCUCUGCUUUCACUUGUUGGCAUGUUAAGCACUUCGCCACAAAGCGUCCAAUAUCACUCUUCAUUCCCGGCCACCAGUAGUGCAUUUUUAGUCCUUGAUACAUCUUGGUGCUGCCCGGGUGAUCAGCAUAUGGAGACCGAUGCGCUUCUUGUAGAAUUAGCUCGCGAAGCUCUCCAUCUUUUGGCACACACCAUCGGUUUUGAAACCGGAGUAAACCACUGGUGUCUAAAUUGAAAUCGCCGCCUCGACCUUCCUCGAUGUUUUGCCGCACCUUUUGGAGUUCUGGGUCUGUGGGUUGUAGAUCUUUGAUCCUCUGCAACAAGGUCGGUUGAAUAACGAGCGCCAUUAACUGGGCCGGAACCUUGGGAGCGACCACCUCAAGGUUCAUCCGCUCCAUGUCUAACCACAAGGGUGAUUAAUUUGUAACCCACAUCGAGAGGUUCUCCGCCGACUUUCUGCUCAAUGCAUCAGCGACCACAUUGGCUUUCCCGGGGUGGUAGAAGAUAUCGACGUCAUAGUCCUUUAACAAUUCUAACCACCGCCGCUGUCGCAUAUUGAGCUCCUUCUGUGUGAACAUAUAUUUUAAACUCUUGUGGUCCGUGUAAAUCUCACAAUGGGCACCAUACAAGUAGUGCCACCACAGCUUCAAGGCAAAGAUUACCGCUGCUAGCUCCAAAUCGUGGAUGGGGUAGUUCUUCUCAUAGCUCUUCAGCUGAUGGGAUGCAUAAGCAAUCACCUUCCCGUUUUGCGUCAAAACAUACCCCAGUCCUAGAUAGGAGGCAUCGCUGUAGACUACGAAGUCUUCGCCUUGUACCGGUAGAGCGAGCACCGGAGUCGAAGUUAAUUUUUGCUUCAACUCUUUAAAACUCCGGUCGCACUCUUCGCUCCACACGAACCUAGUGCCCUUCUGAGUUAGGCGGGUAAGUGGAAUCACUAUCUUGGAAAAGCCUUCCACAAACCGCCUAUAAUAGCCCGCCAAGCCCACGAAGCUUCGAACCUCCAUGACAUUCGUCGGGCGCGGCCAAUCCUUGAUUGCCUCAACUUUCCUCGGGUCUACAAAAACUCCACCUGCGGAAAUCACAUGCCUUAUAAAUGGGACUUCACGGAGCCAGAAAUCACACUUCUUUAACUUAGCAUACAGCUUCUCCUCCCGAAGGGUUUGAAGCACUAUCCUCAAAUGCUCGGCAUAUUCCUCGUCACUACGAGAAUAGACCAACCACGACAAAUUGAUCUAAAAACUUCCUGAAGACAUGGUUCAUCAAGUCCAUAAAUGCCGCUGGAGCGUUCGUGAGUCCAAAUGGCAUGACCGUGAAUUCAUAGUGCCCAUACCGCGUACGAAACGCAGUUUUCUGCAUAUCCUCCGGCUUGAUCUUCAACUGGUGAUAGCCGGACUGCAAAUCUAUCUUCGAGUACACACACGACCCCUGCAACUGAUCGAACAGGUCAUCGAUUUGGGGUAGUGGGUACUUGUUCUUGAUCGUGACUCUGUUAAAUUCUCGAUAGUCCACACAGAGUCGAAACGAUCCGUCCUUCUUCCGUACAAACAACACUGGGGCUCUCCACGGUGAUACACUUGACCGGAUAAACUGUUUGUCGAGAAGGUCUUGCAAUUGACUCCUCAACUCCUUCAGUUCCGCCAGCGCCAUUCGGUACGGAGCCUUCGAGAUCGGUGCGAUACCGGGAACCAAGUCUAUGACGAACUCGAUCUCCCGAUCCGGUGAUAUCCCCGGUAAUUCCGCAGGAAAUACAUCCGGGAACUCUCGCACCGCCGAUAACUCCUGUAAUGUUGGAGCUACUCGUUCCACUUCCACAACAGUCGCUAAGAAUGCCGUGCAACCACUGUUAACCAACUUCCUUGCUCUCGUCGCCGACACCGUCGCGACGAAGCACGAGCUCUGACAAGCCCGAUAUGUGAACUCCUUUUGUCCUGGCUCACGAAAUGUAAUUACUCUGCUCUUGCAGUCGAUCGUUGCAUGAUAUUUCGAGAGUUAGUCCAUGCCCAAAAUGAUGUCAUAAGCCUCGAGCUUCUUGAGUUCUGGCGUUCGAAUAGGCAUUAUCCAGUCACCCACUUGUACUGGACGCGACGCACACUCCGAGUAAGUGUUAAACGUCGACCCAGGGCCCUCAACUCGCCACUUGUCAGUCGCCUCUAUGAGUAUGCCAUGCAUGCGUGUGAAUGAUCUACUUAUGAAUGAAUGCGUGGCUCAUGUAUCAAAUAAAGCCCUGGAGCGAACUCCGUUAAUUAAAACCAUACCUGCCACAAGGCGAUGCUCCUCCGCCUCCGCAGGCUCCUCGGCUUGAACCUGAGCGGCGAAUACCCGACCGCUCGGAGUUGAUCGCGUCACCUCGGGUUGACGCGGCAUCACCGCGCGUCCCGUCGACGCGGCCGCCGGUGGAGCUCCUCCAUAGUGAGCCGGAAUCGCCGACGCCAAUGCAAUCGAUGGGGCAGGUGAGGCUCCUCCUCCCGGGCAGUCCUGAAUGAAGUGCCCCGGUUGCCCACACUUGUAGCACUUGCCUCGGCCCUGCUCACGUCACGAGACUGGGUGGUCUCCGCCGCAUAUGAUACACCGUCGCGCUCCACCGCCCUUUGGCUGAGUCCGUGGAUACUUCGGGGGCUUCUUGGAACGUGUUUGUCCCCCCGAACCGCCGCCGCCUUGGCGUUUCUUGCCCUUGUCCUUGGACUCGGCCAACAUCUCACGCUUCUCUCGGACAUGGGCGUCUCCGUGCUCCACCGAAAGUGCUCAGUCGAAGACCUCCGCAAAGGUCGUGAGCUUGAGUAUCUGCACAGCCUUAUAAAUCCCCGGCCGAAGUCCUCGCAAGAACCAAUCGGCCCGGUCCCGGUCAUCCUUCACUACGUCCGGAACACAAUCAAUGAUGUGGGAGAACUCUUGUUCAUAUUCCGCCACAGAGCGGUCCCCUUGCUCCAACUUGCGAAACUUCUCCUUGAGCUUCAGCUUCAGCGUAUCGGGGAAGUAGUUGGCGAACAUCUCCCGCUUGAAUUCCUCCCACAGCAUUGGCAGGAGAUCGGAAGACCGAUCUCGCUUCACGCGCUUCUACCAUACCUUUGCCGCUUUCUCCAAACAGUGGGUGGCAAGGUACACCUUAUCCCUCUCCAAGGUGCGCAAGUCCUCAAAGAAAGUCUCCAUCGAAUCGAUCCAAGACUCGACCAUCGCCGGCUCCAUCUUCUCGCCCUAAAAGGUAGGCGGAUGGAACUUGUUGAACAUAAUAAGAGCCGCCAAUGCGCGCUCUCCUUCCACAUCUUCGGCCGUCACAUCGGGUGUAGCCGAUCCCGACGCCGCCUAUGGUACGAUCGCUGGCGGUGGGCGUGCCGUCACCGGAACAGCCGCUAUGCCCUCACCCUCUGCCGCUCCGGGUACAUGAGUCGAGGGUGCGGGUGGACCACCGCCCUCGUUCACCGUCGCAGCCGCCACCGCAACCUGCCGCUCCAAAAGAUCCUAGAGCCGCUCGAAUCAGGUCUCCUAGCGCUGCACCACAUUGGUCAACGCGGUCACUUGCGCCCGCAACUGUUCCAUCUCGCUCGGUUCAGCCUGCUCGGGCACCUCGGGAAGCGGUGCCGGAGUAGACCUUGUGCUCGGGCAUCCACUUGGAGCCAUUGGCUCCUGAAACGCAAGUACUUGGUUAAUUAUCUUAACCCGUUCGCCUCGUCGCAAUUACGACACACAACGACUCAACAACGAAAUCGGGCGGAAGCACACAAGUGUACUCGUUCUAGACUCUUGGUAUCAUGUUAUCGGCCGCCGACACAACCACCUCAAGACAAAAACUCAUGCCACUUAAAUCCGUCUCUAAUCACAACUAGAGACAUAUUACCAACUUCGACCCAAUCGAAUCAACUUCCGACAUCGCUAUAGGUUCACGUUCCGCUCACGCACUUAUAACCUUAGGGCUUACCAACCUAGGGUCUCCUAGGUCAUCCUAGACUUUCUCUCUUUACUUGCUCUUAUUACUGUGAUACCAUAUGACUGUCACGCCCCGCCCCGAAACUACUACCAAUUUGGUACGAUUCGGGCGCGCCGGGCAGACCGCAGAAUGGACAGCGCCUCCCCUGUCCGCCCAAGGCUCAACAACAGGUAUGUGUACAAGAAUUUAUCCAGAAAAUUUAAAUUCUAAACAUACACAUUCAACGGGGCACAAGUAGUGCCAAUAACUAAGAGCAAGUAAUCCACAAGUGAAAACAAGUGAAAUAAAGAGAAUACUUUACUAACUAUUGCAAUAGUUUUGCAUCUUUUUACAUGUACAUCUUUUCCUCAAAAUGAAUUCAUAUGUUCAUUCAAAAUACAUAGCUCUCCAAAUCCUCACCUACAUGAAUCUCUCUCAAUACAUAGGUGUGCUAAUGCAAAAAGGAAAGCUACUAUACUACCACGGUCUCACUGAUUGGGCGCGAUGCCCUUGUCACGGUCCUCUCUCGGUAAAUCUGUACCUACCACUGGAAAUAGAGUGGGGUGAGAACUAUCUUCCAUAGUUUCUAGUGGGCUCGGCCGCCGACUCCGCCGGUCUCCCCACUAGGUCCAAGUGGGCACAAGUAACAACAGAUAGAUAGAUAGAUA
rnacentral:lncRNA from 1 species